rnacentral:rRNA from 1 species
UGGGGAAUAUUGCUCAAUGGGAGAAAUCCUGAAGCAGCAACGCCGCGUGGAGGAUGAAGGGUCUAUGGCUUGUAAACUCCUGUAAGGAAGGAAAAAAUUCCCAUUAGAUGGGAGAUGAUGGUACUUCUGGAGUAAGCCCCGGCUAACUACGUGCCAGCAGCCGCGGUAAUACGUAGGGGGCAAGCGUUGUCCGGAUUUACUGGGUGUAAAGGGUGCUCAGGCGGAUUUGUAAGUCAGAGGUGAAAUCUUACAGCUUAACUGUGAAACUGCCUGUGAUACUUUUAUUCUUGAGUUCGGGAGAGAGAGACGGAAUUCCAGGUGUAGUGGUGAAAUACGUAGAUAUCUGGAAGAACACCAGUUGCGAAGGCGGUCUCUUGGUCCGACACUGACGCUGAGGCGCGAAAGCGUGGGGAGCAAACA